rnacentral:misc_RNA from 1 species
GGACUAAUGUAUCUCCAUGCGCAUAAUAUAGUGCAUGGUGAUAUUAAACCUGAUAACCUGUUGGUUACUCGUUCGGGUACAGUGAAGAUUGGAGAUUUUAGUGUUAGCCAAGUAUUUGAGGUAAUAGCUCUUAAUUUAGUAAAAAAAACAAAUGAUUAUGAUGGAAACAAGAUCCGUGACAAUAUUGUAUAAUAUUUUCUACAGAAGAAAUUACUUUUUGAUUUUUUUUUUCUGUCUCUGUUCUUCUUCUUGUUGUUAUCAAAGUUUAGAAACCCAAACUGGACUGGCCAGGUUUCUGGUUCAGGUGUGGUACAAAUACAAACCCAGAAAUGGCCAAACCAGGGUGUUUGACCAUAUGAACCAGCUGGUCUCAACAGGUGAACCAACUAAAUCUGGACGGGUCUAGUUGUUUUAGAUAAGUCCAACCAGUUGAGAGGCUAGAUUCUUUGAUCUUCAUACGAAAAAGAAUUUUUGAAAUUGGAAACGCUGGAUUUUGAAUCCAACACGACUACCAUUUGUCAUAAGCUCACAUGCCACAAAGACAUGAGAACUUGAUGCCGGAACGUGGAUGGGAUGAUUUAUCUUGUGACUAUUAGUAUAAAUCUUUAUAUGUUGGCUUGAUUGACAUUACUUGAUCUAGACAUGUAUUUUACACUAAUUAAAGACCUGCUUCUUGCUACUGCAGUGCCAAAGUGUCAAUGCUUAAAUAAAAAAUGCACUGUCUUCAUAUAACUAAAGUCUUUGGCCCAGGUAUGGGGUGUUUGUUUUAGGUGUACUGCAGUCUGCAGCUACAUUAUCGCUUAAGUUUAGUCUUAAGUAUGGAGCUGCAAUUUCUGGCUACACUGGAGCUAAUUGGUAUUUGGCCAUUACCACCAUAACUCCAUAUCAAUAUUAUGCUUAUCAUGGAUGCAUGUAUAUUAGCUGACAACAAAUUUUUCUCAUCCAGUUCACUGGAACAGUGAUUAUCGCUUGCUCCCUGUGUUGUGGGAAAUGCGUAAUGGGAUAUUAUUGCAAUUAAUAUACUUUUGUUCUUUUCACAAACAGUGCUAUUUCUUUUUCUUUUCAUUUUUACAUCAUGUGGUUCUGCAGGAUGAUAAUGAUGAGCUUCGCCGAUCUCCUGGGACGCCUGUUUUCACAGCACCUGAGUGCUGUCUAGGUUAGGUUUCUAAGCUGAUAAAUGCUGUUAGUGAUGCUUAAACUUGUAGGAUUGAUCUCUUUAUGGUUCCUGGAUUUUUCUUCUAAACAACAGGGCUGACCUACCAUGGCAAAGCUGCUGACACAUGGGCAGUGGGAGUGACUUUGUACUGUAUGAUUCUUGGACAAUACCCAUUUCUUGGAGAAACUCUGCAGGAUACAUAUGACAAGGCAAGCAAAUUGUGCAUUCUUUUUCCCUUGCAGAAGUUGGCUUUUUCAUCCAUGCUAUUGUUUCACAAGAGAUUCUGUUCCCUUUUUUUUCUUUUUUUUGUUGUCCUCCAGAUUGUUAGUAACCCUUUAGUACUCCCAAAUGAAAUGAACCCACAGCUAAAGAACUUGCUUGAAGGACUUCUUUGCAAAGGUGGGUGAUAUUUAUUCAUAGUCAAAAUAAGCUGGAGCCAGUAGAUUUUCUGGAUUUCUCAUUACUUCCUUUGCAGCCAUGUUUGUUAUUCUUUUUCCUUCGAUCUCUGCCCUGAAUUGAAAAUUGUCUUGUGCAGACCCAAAACAAAGGAUGACAUUAGAUUCUGUAGCAAGUCAUAAUUGGGUCAUUGGAGAAGAUGGGCCAAUUCCACAGCAUCUAUGCUGGUGCAAGCGUAAUAGCCUUCAAACGAAAUUCGAAACACACAUGACCCUCAUUGAAUCCGAUGAGACUCGUACUGACUAAGAAUUGUUUCCAAGUAUGGAUUUUUUUUUUCCAUGUAUAGUAGGAAACCCAGGAUUCUCUUUCAUUUUGUUUUACUUUUUAAAUUUGGCUUAUCAAAUAUGAAUGGAGACCAGUUUUUAGCAAAGUUUUCUGGAAUAUAUGAGAUUUGAGAGACAGUUUUCAUGCUGGUGAUUGAGCUUUUGAAUGAAACAGAAGAAUAUGUAAGUCCUUGGGAUAAGUUUCCAUUAAUAUUUUUUCUUGUGUAUUUGACCUGAUAUUGGGAAUAUGAUAUUUGAGGUGAGUUUUUGUCUGAAGCAAGCCUGUUGUUUAUUCUUUC